UGGGGAAUAUUGGACAAUGGGCGGAAGCCUGAUCCAGCCAUGCCGCGUGUGUGAAGAAGGCCUUUUGGUUGUAAAGCACUUUAAGCGAGGAGGAGGCUACUUGGAUUAAUACUCUAGGAUAGUGGACGUUACUCGCAGAAUUAGCACCGGCUAACUCUGUGCCAGCAGCCGCGGUAAUACAGAGGGUGCGAGCGUUAAUCGGAUUUACUGGGCGUAAAGCGUGCGUAGGCGGCUUCUUAAGUCGGAUGUGAAAUCCCUGAGCUUAACUUAGGAAUUGCAUUCGAUACUGGGAAGCUAGAGUAUGGGAGAGGAUGGUAGAAUUCCAGGUGUAGCGGUGAAAUGCGUAGAGAUCUGGAGGAAUACCGAUGGCGAAGGCAGCCAUCUGGCCUAAUACUGACGCUGAGGUACGAAAGCAUGGGGAGCAAACAGG
rnacentral:rRNA from 1 species